rnacentral:rRNA from 1 species
ACGUGCGCGCCUCCCUCCUUCUCGUCCCUUUACACACCCCUGGUUGGGGAAGUCUCCCUCGGAGGCGUUCCCUUCCACCCUAUACCAUAUCCUGUCUAAUCGCAUGUCUUUGAACGUUCUACUGAGCGGGUAACAUUUUGUACAUCUUUCAACAACGGAUCUCUUGGCUUUCGCAUCGAUGAAUAACGCCGCGAAAGCGCGAAACGUAAUGUGAAUUGCAGAAUUCAGUGAAUCAUCGAUUCUUUGAACGCAUCUUGCGCUCCUUGGUAUUCCGAGGAGCAUGCCUGUUUGAGUGUCGUGAAGUCACUCGACCCCCCCUUUCCCUUAUGGGAGAGAGAGGGGUUKGAUUUUKGACCCUUUCCCGGUUGGUCCAAUGAGGCCGCGGCUCGUCUUUAAACGCAUCAGCUGGCCCUUUCGAGUCGGUGUAACGACGGUGUGAUAAUAAACGCUUUGUUGACUGCAGCGCCGUCUGGCCGAUUUGGAUUAGGGUUGCUUAUAGUUGUCUUCGGACAGUGCCUUUCAUGUCGUCUGACCUCAA